CAAGCUACUAAGGGCACACGGUGGAUGCCUUGGCGCAUCGAGGCGAUGAAGGACGUGGCAAGCUGCGAUAAGCGGCGGUGAGGAGCAAGCAUCCUGUGACCCGCCGAUCUCCGAAUGGGGGAACCCGCGUAGGUCAACCCUACGCAUCCCGGCCUGAAUCCAUAGGGCACGGGAGGCGAACCCGGGGAAGUGAACCAUCUCAGUACCCGGAGGAAAAGAAAACAACCGUGAUUCCGUCAGUAGCGGCGAGCGAACGCGGAAGAGCCUAAACCAACUGGACUGCGGUUCAGUUGGGGUCGUGGGAUCAGACACUAUGGGAGUGACAAAAGCUCAGGUUAGCGGAAACCGUUGGAAAGCGGUACCAUAGAGCGUGAUAGUCGCGUACGCGAAAACCUCGAGCUCUCCCGUCUGACUCCCGAGUAACACGGGACACGAGGAAUCCUGUGUGAAUCUGCCGGGACCACCCGGUAAGGCUAAAUACUCCGAUGCGACCGAUAGUGAACUAGUACCGUGAGGGAAAGGUGAAAAGCACCCCGGUGAGGGGAGUGAAAUAGUACCUGAAACCGUGUGCUUACAAGCAGUGGGAGGCGCUUUCCGGCGCUGACCGCGUGCCUUUUGCAUAAUGAGCCGGCUAGUUCGUGUCACAGGCGAGGUUAAGCCGACGAGGCGGAGCCGAAGCGAAAGCGAGUCCGAAGAGGGCGUUGAGUCUGUGGCACGAGGACGCGAAGCGAGAUGAUCUAGGCAUGGCCAGGAUGAAGCCGAGGUAACACUCGGUGGAGGUCCGAACCAGUGUGGGUUGAAAACCGCUUGGAUGAGCUGUGCCUAGGGGUGAAAGGCUAAUCAAAUCUCGUGAUAGCUCGUUCUCGCCGAAAUGGUUUUAGGGCCAGCCUCGGACUAGAGCGUCGCGGUGGUAGAGCACUGAAUGGGCUAGGGGCCCCACAGGGUUACCGAACCCAAUCAAACUCCGAAUGCCGCGCACGUGUUCUCCGGGAGUGAGACUGUGGGGGCUAAGCUCCAUGGUCGAGAGGGAAACAACCCAGACCGACAACUAAGGCCCCAAAGUCGUGGUUAAGUGGAAAAGGAGGUGGGGACGCCCUGACAGCCAGGAGGUUUGCUUAGAAGCAGCAAUCCUUUAAAGAAAGCGUAAUAGCUCACUGGUCAAGCGGCCCUGCACCGACAAUUCAACGGGGCUUAAACCACGCGCCGAAGUUUCGGAUCGCGAAGGUCGCUGAUCUUCGCGAUGGUAGGCGAGCAUUCCGUAGCUGCGAAGCGGUUCCGAAAGGGCCGUUGGAGCGAUCGGAAAAGACUCUGUCGGCAUAAGUAGCGACAACGCGGGCGAGAACCCCGCGCGCCGAAAACCUAAGGUUUCCUCUGUAAAGUUAAUCUGCAGAGGGUAAGUCGGUCCCUAAGGCGAGGCCGAAAGGCGUAGCCGAUGGAAAUCCGGUUAAAAUUCCGGAACCACCAGCGUGUGCUGUGGGGGGACGCAGUCGGGUAGGCGAGACCGGCGAUGGAUGUCCGGUUGAACGCCGCGAGCCCGUCGCUUAGGCAAAUCCGGGCGACACACAGGGCGAGCGGGCGGGACGAAAGUACGCCCCUUCGGGGGCGGAAACAAGUCGCCGACCCCAGCUGCCAAGAAAAGCCUCGGGCAGCUUCAACACGCAUGGUGACCGUACCGCAAACCGACACAGGUAGGUGGGGUGAGAAUCCUAAGGCGCUUGUGAGAACCCUCGUUCAGGAACUCGGCAAACUGGCCCCGUAACUUCGGGAGAAGGGGUGCCCCGGUAGGGUCUUCGGGCCCGAGGGGGUCGCAGUGAAAGGUCCCAGGCGACUGUUUACUAAAAACACAGGUCUCCGCAAACUCGUAAAGAGGAUGUAUGGGGGGCUGACGCCUGCCCAAUGCCGGAAGGUUAAAGGGAAGGGUUAGCCGCAAGGCGAAGCCCUGAACUGAAGCCCCGGUGAAUGGCGGCCGUAACUAUGACGGUCCUAAGGUAGCGAAAUUCCUUGUCGGGUAAGUUCCGACCUGCACGAAUGGCGUAACGAUCUGGGAGCUGUCUUAACGAGGGGCACAGCGAACUUGUAGUACCGGUGAAGAUGCCGGUUUCCCGCGUCUAGACGGAAAGACCCCGUGGACCUUUACUACAACCUGAUAGUGGGCUCGGGCAAAUCAUGCGCAGGAUAGGUGGGAGGCUGUGAAGCCGGCCCUUCGGGGUCGGUGGAGCCACCGGUGAGAUACCACCCUUGGUUUGUCUGGGCUCUAACCUGCCGCUGUGAAUCCAGCGGAGGGACACUAUCAGGCGGGUAGUUUGACUGGGGCGGUCGCCUCCUAAAUGGUAACGGAGGCGCUCGAAGGUUGGCUCAGGCUGUUUGGAAAUCAGCCGUAGAGUGCAAACGCAUAAGCCAGCCUGACUGUGAGACACACACGUCGAGCAGGGACGAAAGUCGGAGUUAGUGAUCCGGCGGUUCCGUGUGGAAGGGCCGUCGCUCAACGGAUAAAAGGUACCCCGGGGAUAACGAAAGGAGGCAUGGUGAACAGGCUGAUCGGGCCCAAGAGUGCACAUCGACGGCCCGGUUUGGCACCUCGAUGUCGGCUCAUCGCAUCCUGGGGCUGAAGAAGGUCCCAAGGGUUCGGCUGUUCGCCGAUUAAAGCGGUACGUGAGCUGGGUUUAGAACGUCGCGAGACAGUUCGGUCCCUAUCUGGCGUGGGCGUAGCAGGACUGAGGGAAUCUGUCCCUAGUACGAGAGGACCGGGAUGGACCGACCUCUGGUGUACGAGUUGUCGCGCCAGCGGCAGCGCUCGGUAGCCAAGUCGGGCAUGGAUAAACGCUGAAUGCAUCUAAGCGUGAAGCCAGACCCAAGAUGAGUCCUGCCCGUGAGACCCCUGGAAGACCACCAGGUUGAUAGGCUGGAAGUGUAAGCGCAGCAAUGCGUUUAGCUGACCAGUACUAAUCGGUCCCAUGGCUUGACCG
rnacentral:rRNA from 1 species